GCGCUCAUGGAGCGGCCGAUGUCGGAUUAGCUAGUUGGUGGGGUAAGAGCCUACCAAGGCGACGAUCCGUAGCUGGUCUGAGAGGAUGAUCAGCCACACUGGGACUGAGACACGGCCCAG
rnacentral:rRNA from 1 species